rnacentral:misc_RNA from 1 species
UUAUUCAUUUGUAUUUUCGCUCAGACGUCACGGAUUAAACGGGUUUGGUUGGGACUCUGGCGAGCACUCGCCGCCGAAGCUGCGGCGGGACGGACCCGCGGGCUCGCCAAAGCAACAAGGGACGGUACGCAUAGGGUUGGAGGUUCGAGGCACGCGGCCCCUAACUCUUUAAUGAUCCUUCCGCAGGUUCACCUACGGAAA